rnacentral:rRNA from 1 species
AAGUCGAGCAGUUAGAGAGAAGCCUUGCUGCUCUUGAGAGCGGCGGACGGGUGAGUAAAUGCCUAGGAAUCUGCCUGGUAGUGGGGGAUAACGUUCGGAAACGGACGCUAAUACCGCAUACGUCCUACGGGAGAAAGCAGGGGACUUUCGGGCCUUGCGCUAUCAGAUGAGCCUAGGUCGGAUUAGCUAGUUGGUGAGGGUAAUGGCUCACCAAGGCGACGAUCCGUAACUGGUCUGAGAGGAUGAUCAGUCACACUGGAACUGAGACACGGUCCAGACUCCUACGGGAGGCAGCAGUGGGGAAUAUUGGACAAUGGGCGAAAGCCUGAUCCAGCCAUGCCGCGUGUGUGAAGAAGGUCUUCGGAUUGUAAAGCACUUUAAGUUGGGAGGAAGGGUUGUAGAUUAAUACUCUGCAAUUUUGACGUUACCGACAGAAUAAGCACCGGCUAACUCUGUGCCAGCAGCCGCGGUAAUACAGAGGGUGCAAGCGUUAAUCGGAAUUACUGGGCGUAAAGCGCGCGUAGGUGGUUCGUUAAGUUGGAUGUGAAAGCCCCGGGCUCAACCUGGGAACUGCAUUCAAAACUGACGAGCUAGAGUAUGGUAGAGGGUGGUGGAAUUUCCUGUGUAGCGGUGAAAUGCGUAGAUAUAGGAAGGAACACCAGUGGCGAAGGCGACCACCUGGACUGAUACUGACACUGAGGUGCGAAAGCGUGGGGAGCAAACAGGAUUAGAUACCCUGGUAGUCCACGCCGUAAACGAUGUCAACUAGCCGUUGGAAUCCUUGAGAUUUUAGUGGCGCAGCUAACUACACUAAGUGACCGGCUUGGGGUUUCCCG